rnacentral:misc_RNA from 1 species
GAUGAAGAACGUAGCGAAACGCGAUAAGUAAUGUGAAUUGCAGAAUCCAGUGAAUCAUCGAAUCUUUGAACGCACAUUGCGCCCGCCAGCAUUCUGGCGGGCAUGCCUGUUCGAGCUUCAUUUCAACCCUCGACCUCCCCUUGGGGAGGUCGGCGUUGGGGACCGGCAGCACACCGCCGGCCCUGAAAUGGAGUGGCGGCCCGUCCGCGGCGACCUCUGCGCAGUAAUACAGCUCGCACCGGGACCCCGACGCGGCCACGCCGUAAAACACCCAACUUCUGAACGUUGACCUCGAAUCAGGUAGGACUACCCGCUGAACUUAAGCAUAUCAAUAACGGAGGA